rnacentral:rRNA from 1 species
GACGUAGGGGGCGAGCGUUGUCCGGAAUUACUGGGCGUAAAGGGCGUGUAGGCGGCUUAAUAAGUCAGCUGUGAAAUCCCCCGGCUCAACUGGGGGCCUGCAGUUGAAACUAUUGAGCUUGAGUGCAGGAGAGGAAGGUGGAAUUCCCAGUGUAGCGGUGAAAUGCGUAGAUAUUGGGAGGAACACCGGUGGCGAAGGCGGCCUUCUGGCCUGUAACUGACGCUGAGGCGCGAAAGCUAGGGGAGCAAACAGG